UCCCUGGUGGCUUAGUGGUAAAGAAUCUGCCUGCAAUGCAGGAGACCCGGGUUCGAUCCCUGGGUUGGGAA
rnacentral:tRNA from 1 species